rnacentral:rRNA from 1 species
UACGUAGGUGGCAAGCGUUAUCCGGAAUUAUUGGGCGUAAAGAGGGAGCAGGCGGCAGCAAAGGCCUGUGGUGAAAGACUGAAGCUUAACUUCAGUAAGCCAUAGAAACCGGGCAGCUAGAGUGCAGGAGAGGAUCGUGGAAUUCCAUGUGUAGCGGUGAAAUGCGUAGAUAUAUGGAGGAACACCAGUGGCGAAGGCGACGAUCUGGCCUGCAACUGACGCUCAGUCCCGAAAGCGUGGGGAGCAAACAGG